GUUCCAUUUGCUGAUCCAAAUGUGCUCACUGCCACUGAGAGAGGCAUUAACCAUGCCAUAACACCAAGAAGACGAUUACCGAACGUCUGGAGGAAAAAAAAAAGAAAUUUUCAUAAUAGAGAAGAGAAGUUAUUCAAUUUCAUUGUGUAUAAGUGCGCGCUAUUUUGGUCUGGACCAGUGAUUCAUAUGACAAAUAUUUAAAAUAAAUAAAUGCUGUGCAAGUAUAUAUAUUGCAGUAAAGUAAAUUAUGCAAAAUAUGUAAAACAAUAAUAUAAGGUAAUUUUUAUAAAAUGAACAUUGCUUUUGUAAGCGAAAUUCCUAUUUCUCUUAUUUUUAACUUAAAAAUUCAAUUUUUUUCGACCAUCGAGAUAUUUCGAUACUUUUUCAAAUUCAAAUCAAAUAGUAUAGAGAAUUAUAAUUUUUUGUGUUUCUUAAACUGAUGAGCGUCUAGUGACUUUAUGGAUUUGUCCUGAGCAUGCGUGAAGUUGCAUUCUCCUUUUUUUGAAAUAGAGAAUUUCAUUGGUUGUCACGUGAUCCCUGCGCGGUAAAUUUUAUUUGAAUCUUUUGAGAAAGAAAGAAUUUUUAUUUUAAAUAAUAAAACAUAUAAUUAUUAAUUGUAUUAUACACAGUAAAAGAAAAAAAGAAAAUAUAAAUUAAUUUAAAUUAAUAUUAAUUUGAGUUUUCAUUAUUUAUAUCUUAUUUUUUUAUUUCUUUGUAAAAUUUAAUUAACUAUGGUUGGGAGGAAUAAAUGAAAGAAAGGAAAAUUACGGAAGAAGUUGUAGUAACAUAUAUUCUAUGUAACAUGAUACUUAUAUAAGUAUAUUUAUAUAUUUAUAUGUGUAUGUAUAUAAUAAUUAAUAAAAUAUAAUGUUUAAUAACAUUAAUCGUAUGUCUACAAUAUAUUAUUAUCUCGCCAAUAUUUCAAUCGUCAUCGUCGUCUUGUCUUUUUUUUCGUCGCCGCUAAGAUAUAUAAUAUAUAUUUAUUUAUAUAUCUUUAUAAUAGUAUAAUAAAUACGUUGACAAAGUUAUUAUAAAUAUAUUUAUGCGCUCAAUAUAAAUAUAAUAACUAAUGGUACAACUUGUGUUUAUUCAUUUCUUUUUUUUAUAUAUAUUAUAUAAUCAUAACAUUCGAAAAGUUUACACACGAUAACUGCUUAGCGUAAAAUUGUAAACUCGAAAUUUUUAUUUUUCCAUUAUUAAAUAACUCUGUUGUUUAAAUUAUCUUCGUUAUCUUUUUUAUAUUUUUCCGUAAAUAUAUAUUUAUAUAUUUAUUCUCUUCAAUAUUAUCAAUCGUAUCGCUGUUUUGAAUGGGGUCAACGGAAAAAGAAAUUAAUGAUUCAACAUGAAAAACGAGUAUCUUAAAUUUCAACUCAAUUAAAAAUCAUAUUGAAUAUAAAUUUCCUAUUAAAUUUAAUUAUUAUUUUAUUCAAUUGAUUAAUUUUAAUACAAUAUAUAAAUUUAUUUUCUCGAAAGUGUCAAUGGAAAAGAAGAUUAAUUUGAAAAUUGAUUUUUACUGAGUCAAUGAUAAAUAAUUUCUCAUUAAUAUUUAAUUUCUCUUUAUUUCUAAGAGUUACUCGUUUAACUGAUGAAUCUAAAUUUGAUGACGACGAUGACAAUAAACGGUGGCGAUUUUUUUUUAGCUCAACAGAGACAAAAUUAAUCAAUGUUAUCGACAACGAUAUAUAGCUCGUUUUCCGCUUUUAAUAAUAUGAGUCGUGAAAUUUUCAAAUUUUUCCAGCAUUUCAUGUUUGCGAAAUCGUGUGUUAAUGACUCUUCUCUAUUUAUUUGUACUCUUUUUGUUUUUUGUCUCGAGAAAAUAUUUUUUCUCGUGAUUUCGCGGCAGGACGUGGUUACGAAUUUUUUAUUUAUUUUUUUUCUAGAGAAGAUCAACAUCUAACGAGGGCGAACAAAUUUUUUUUUUUUGUAUGGCCUCAGAAAAAUUUGAAAUUUAACAGCGAAUUUGUUAUAAAAUAGAAUCAAAUUUCCAGUUAAGGUAGAGAAUUGCGUUUUCUUUUCCAAAAAGAGUUCUAAAAAUUCUAAUUCUAAAUUUAUGUUUAAAAUUUAGAAUUAAAAAUUUUUGAGAACAACUUUUCAAAUAAAAAUUCUUAAAAGUAUUUUGUAAAAAUUGGAAAUUUUCAAUUUAAGAAUCUUUUAAAUUAAAAAAAGGACUGUUACUUUGAAAAAUUCCAAAUUUUGCAAAAAUUCGAGAUGAAAAUAAUGUGCCUCGUCUCAAAGCUGUGUUAAACAUUAUUAUUAUGGAAAUAUUUUUAAAUCCGCCAGAACACAUCGUGAGUUACAAUUUGUAAAACUUGAAACGCGACUAAAAAAAUAUUUCGUUUAACACAACUGAGUCAACGCUAUACAAAAUUUUCCUCAAAAAAAAUUUCUUUUUUGGAAAUUUGACUCUUUACAAGAUUUUUUUUUU